AAUGAACGUUGGCGGCGUGGAUUAGGCAUGCAAGUCGCGCGAUAAAUGUAGCAAUACAUGGAAAGCGGCGAAAGGGACAGUAACGUGUGGGAACCUACCUCGGGGUCUGGGAUAGCGGCGGGAAACUGCCGGUAAUACCAGAUGACAUCCCCGGAUCAAAGGUGUGAUUCCGCCCUGAGAUGGGCCCACAUGCUAUUAGUUAGUUGGCGGGGUAAUGCCCACCAAGACUAAGAUGGCUAGCGGGUGUGAGAGCACGACCCGCGUCACUGGGACUGAGACACUGCCCAGACACCUACGGGUGGCUGCAGUCGAGAAUCUUCGGCAAUGGGCGCAAGCCUGACCGAGCGACGCCGCGUGCGGGAUGAAGGCCCUCGGGUUGUAAACCGCUGUCGAGGGGGAUGAAAUUCCGGUGGGUACUCCCAUCGGAUUGACAGAUCCCUGGAGGAAGGGUGGGCUAAGUUCGUGCCAGCAGCCGCAGUAA
rnacentral:rRNA from 1 species